AAAACACUAACGAACGCUGGCGGCAGGCUUAACACAUGCAAGUCGAGCGCAUCGCAAGAUGAGCGGCAGACGGGUGAGUAACGCGUGGGAAUCUACCGUGCCCUACGGAAUAGCUCCGGGAAACUGGAAUUAAUACCGUAUACGCCCUUCGGGGGAAAGAUUUAUCGGGGUAUGAUGAGCCCGCGUUGGAUUAGCUAGUUGGUGGGGUAAAGGCCUACCAAGGCGACGAUCCAUAGCUGGUCUGAGAGGAUGAUCAGCCACAUUGGGACUGAGACACGGCCCAA
rnacentral:rRNA from 1 species